GGGCAUCCUUUUGAAAACCCCCCAGUUGCUGCUUGUGGUUUCUGGGACAAGGAAGGAUGCUAUAUGAAUCUUAGAAUCAUCCAAAGCUGAGAGCUUUGUGACAGUAGCUCUUGGUUAUUUCACCUCUAAGACACUA